rnacentral:rRNA from 1 species
CACGUGGAUAAUCUGCCCGAUGAUCUGGGAUAACACUUCGAAAGGGGUGCUAAUACCGGAUAAGCCCACAGGCUCUUCGGAGCUUGCGGGAAAAGGUGGGGACCUUCGGGCCUACCGUCAUCGGAUGAGUCCGCGGCCCAUUAGCUAGUUGGUAGGGUAAUGGCCUACCAAGGCGACGAUGGGUAGCUGGUCUGAGAGGAUGAUCAGCCACACUGGAACUGAGACACGGUCCAGACUCCUACGGGAGGCAGCAGUGGGGAAUUUUGCGCAAUGGGGGAAACCCUGACGCAGCAACGCCGC